AGGCGUGUAGCUCUAACGGCUAGAGCACCGGACUCCAAAUCCGGGGGAUGGGGGUUCGAAUCCCUCCACCCCUGCCA
rnacentral:tRNA from 1 species